rnacentral:misc_RNA from 1 species
GAUGAAGAACGUAGCGAAAUGCGAUAAGUAAUGUGAAUUGCAGAAUUCAGUGAAUCAUCGAAUCUUUGAACGCACAUUGCGCCCGCCAGUAUUCUGGCGGGCAUGCCUGUCUGAGCGUCAUUUCAACCCUCAAGCAACUUCUGCUUGGUGUUGGGGAUCGGCCGUUAAACGCCGCCCCCGAAAUCUAUUGGCGAUCUCGCUGUAGCUUCCUAUGCGUAGUAGUAACAUCUCGCAUCUGGAGAGCGGCGCGGUCAUGCCGUAAAACACCCAACUUCUCAGGUUGACCUCAGAUCAGGUAGGAAUACCCGCUGAACUUAAGCAUAUCAUAAGCGGAGGA